UAAGCAUAUCAAUAAGCGGAGGAAAAGAAACCAACAGGGAUUGCCCCAGUAACGGCGAGUGAAGCGGCAAGAGCUCAAAUUUGAAAUCUGGCCCCCUCCGGGGGUCCGAGUUGUAAUUUGUAGAGGAUGCUUCGGGUGUGGCCGCCGUCUAAGUUCCUUGGAACAGGACGUCAGAGAGGGUGAGAAUCCCGUCUUGGGCGGCCGGUCCGCGCCCGUGUGAAGCUCCUUCGACGAGUCGAGUUGUUUGGGAAUGCAGCUCUAAGCGGGUGGUAAAUUUCAUCUAAAGCUAAAUACUGGUCGGAGACCGAUAGCGCACAAGUAGAGUGAUCGAAAGGUUAAAAGCACCUUGGAAAGGGAGUUAAACAGCACGUGAAAUUGUUGAAAGGGAAGCGCUUGCGGCCAGACUCGGGGGCGGGGUUCAGCGGGCGCUCGUCGCCCGUGCACUCCCCGUCUCCCGGGCCAGCAUCAGUUUCGACGGCCGGUCAAAGGCCCCCGGAAUGUGUCGUCUCUCGGGACGUCUUAUAGCCGGGGGUGCAAUGCGGCCCGUCGGGACUGAGGAACGCGCUCCGGCUCGGAUGCUGGCGUAAUGGCCGUAAGCGGCCCGUCUUGAAACACGGACCAAGGAGUCUAACAUCCACGCGAGUGUUCGGGUGUCAAACCCGUGCGCGCAGUGAAAGCGAACGGAGGUGGGAGCCUUAGGGCGCACCAUCGACCGAUCCUGAAGUCUUCGGAUGGAUUUGAGUAGGAGCGUGGCCGUUGGGACCCGAAAGAUGGUGAACUAUGCCUGAAUAGGGUGAAGCCAGAGGAAACUCUGGUGGAGGCUCGCAGCGGUUCUGACGUGCAAAUCGAUCGUCAAAUUUGGGCAUAGGGGCGAAAGACUAAUCGAACCAUCUAGUAGCUGGUUCCUGCG
rnacentral:rRNA from 1 species